GCGGCGGACGGGUUAGUAACGCGUGGGAAUGUACCCUUCUCUACGGAAUAGCCUCGGGAAACUGAGAGUAAUACCGUAUACGCCCUUCGGGGGAAAGAUUUAUCGGAGAAGGAUCAGCCCGCGUAAGAUUAGAUAGUUGGUGGGGUAAUGGCCUACCAAGUCUACGAUCUUUAACUGGUUUUAGAGGAUGAUCAGCAACACUGGGACUGAGACACGGCCCAGACUCCUACGGGAGGCAGCAGUGGGGAAUCUUGGACAAUGGGCGCAAGCCUGAUCCAGCCAUGCCGCGUGUGUGAUGAAGGCCUUAGGGUCGUAAAGCACUUUCGCUAGAGAUGAUAAUGACAGUAUCUAGUAAAGAAGUCCCGGCUAACUCCAUGCCAGCAGCCGCGGUAAUACGGAGGGGACUAGCGUUGUUCGGAAUUACUGGGCGUAAAGCGUACGUAGGCGGAUCAGAAAGUAUGGGGUGAAAUCCCAGGGCUCAACCCUGGAACUGCCUCAUAAACUCCUGGUCUAGAGUUCGAGAGAGGUGAGUGGAAUUCCGAGUGUAGAGGUGAAAUUCGUAGAUAUUCGGAGGAACACCAGUGGCGAAGGCGGCUCACUGGCUCGAUACUGACGCUGAGGUACGAAAGUGUGGGGAGCAAACAGGAUUAGAUACCCUGGUAGUCCACACCGUAAACGAUGAAUGCCAGUCGUCGGGUAGCAUGCUAUUCGGUGA
rnacentral:rRNA from 1 species